ACUCUGGAGAGUCUCAUGGAACGAGCGCCGAAGGUGUACGGCAGAAGAGCUGCCAAUCUCUCAGGCAAAAGGACAGAGCA
rnacentral:ncRNA from 1 species